UCCGGCCUUAAUGCAUGUCGCCCAAAAGUGUACAGCGGUUUUGGGACAACGACAUGCAUAAAACAAUGACUUAAAGCGCGUCGCAUGAUUCCGAUUUGACGCGACGCGCUUUAGAGCCUUUCCCUGGUCAGCUUUGCUGACAGGAAUAUGAAGA
rnacentral:ncRNA from 6 species